AGAGUUUGAUCAUGGCUCAGGAUGAACGCUGGCGGCGUGCUUAACACAUGCAAGUCGAACGAACCUUCGGGUUAGUGGCGGACGGGUGAGUAACGCGUGAGAAUCUGCCCUCAGGAGGGGGAUAACGGUUGGAAACGACCGCUAAUACCCCAUAUGCCUACUGGUGAAAUGAAUUUCGCCUGAGGAUGAGCUCGCGUCUGAUUAGCUAGUUGGUGAGGUAAUGGCUCACCAAGGCUUCGAUCAGUAGCUGGUCUGAGAGGAUGAUCAGCCACACUGGGACUGAGACACGGCCCAGACUCCUACGGGAGGCAGCAGUGGGGAAUUUUCCGCAAUGGGCGAAAGCCUGACGGAGCAACGCCGCGUGAGGGACGAAGGCCUCUGGGCUGUAAACCUCUUUUCUCAAGGAAGAAGAUAUGACGGUACUUGAGGAAUAAGCCACGGCUAAUUCCGUGCCAGCCGCCGCGGU
rnacentral:rRNA from 1 species